AUGAGAGGCCAAGUGACCCUCUCAGAACAUUCUGUCCUGACCAUAAACUGCACUUACACAGCCUCACGGUACCCUGCUCUUUUCUGGUAUGUCCAAUAUCCUGGAGAAGGUCCACAGGUCCUUCUAAAAGCCAUGAAAGCCAAUGAGCAAGGAAGAAACAAAGGUUUUGAAGCUACAUAUGAUAAAGAAACCAGCUCCUUCCACUUGGAGAAAGCCUCAGUGCAAGAGUCAGACUCGGCCGUGUACUACUGUGCUCUGGGUGACACAGUGGCAGGAACUGCAGGGGGAGCUGAGCACAAACUCUGA